rnacentral:tRNA from 2 species
GCGCCUGUAGCUCAGGGGAUAGAGCAACGGACUUCUAAUCCGUUGGUCGCACGUUCGAAUCGUGCCAGGCGCGCCA